UGGGGAAUUUUGGACAAUGGACGAAAGUCUGAUCCAGCCAUGCCGCGUGCGGGAAGAAGGCCUUCGGGUUGUAAACCGCUUUUGUCAGGGAAGAAAUCCUUUGAGCUAAUACCUCGGGGGGAUGACGGUACCUGAAGAAUAAGCACCGGCUAACUACGUGCCAGCAGCCGCGGUAAUACGUAGGGUGCAAGCGUUAAUCGGAAUUACUGGGCGUAAAGCGUGCGCAGGCGGUUAUGUAAGACAGAGGUGAAAUCCCCGGGCUCAACCUGGGAACUGCCUUUGUGACUGCAUAGCUUGAGUGCGGCAGAGGGGGAUGGAAUUCCGCGUGUAGCAGUGAAAUGCGUAGAUAUGCGGAGGAACACCGAUGGCGAAGGCAAUCCCCUGGGCCUGCACUGACGCUCAUGCACGAAAGCGUGGGGAGCAAACA
rnacentral:rRNA from 1 species